AUCUGGGCUGCUAUAACAAAAUACCUUAGGCUGGGUAAUUGAUAAACAAUAGUAAUUUAUUUCCUACAGUUUUGGGGCCUGGGAAGUCCAGCAGCAAGCUGUCAGCAGACCUGGUGUCUGGUGAGGACCUGUUCCUCACAGAUGGCACCUUGUUGCUCUGUCCUCCCACAGGGGAGGAGCAGAAGGGGCAAGGUGGCUCCUUUCAGCCUAUUUUAGAAGAGCCCUAAUCACAUCUGUGCAGGCAGAGCCCUCAUGACCAAAUCAGCUCCCAAAAGCCAGCCUUGUAACACCCACCCCCGGGUUAGGUUUCAGUGGAAUGCGUUUUGGAGACAUGCAGACCUUCAGAUCAUAGCAGAUGGCAAGACUGAAAAGGACUUCAGUUUGAAGAUGUUGGGGCUGCAUGUGGUUCAAACUGUAGCAGCUGUUGGUCCAGGGUGCACAUGUGUGUGUGCGUUUGUGUGUGUGUCUUGCCUGCGUGGAGGAGGCUGUGUGGAGCCUGUGUGAGAAGCCUGUGUGGAAGAGUUUGGGGUUGGGUGCCUUCAUGUGGCCCAUGCUGCAGAGGCUCCGGACCCAACCCUGGAGUCUCCCAGGCCCUUCGGAACGGUGGCAGUGAAGUGGGACUGUCUGGUGUUGCUGCUGGGGCUCUGAGGCAUGUGCUAAUUUGGGGUCGUCAGGAUGAACAAAUGUUUUUGAAGCGUGUCCUAGAUUCUGGCAGCCUUGAAAUGCUCUCCAUCCCACAUGCCAGGAUUCCAGGGAGAGGGUGAUGGGGAUGUCCCCAAGGAAGCGAUACACUUGACUUAUUUUAUGUCAGUGACAGGUGAGGACAGCCUUGACAUCCCACAUUUCUCCUUCCAGAGGACACAAGAACCUUCAGUGUCAACGUUCACCAGCACACCACCCCCGGAAAGUCUGGAAUCCUCAGUCAGAAAAGUUCAGUAUCUCGAAGUGGGCCCCCAUCCAGGUGUCUGCCCUGGGGACAGAGGCACCUGUGUUCACUGUCACAGUCAACUUUCUUCUUUCAUGUCAAAAUUGAUUCUGAAAACUCAACAGAGCCCAUCACCUUCACUUUUGUGGGACUAGCAGCACUGGGCCACCUCUCACAGCCUGUCAUACUAUAUUCAGUGUGAGCAAGAGUUUUCUAAAGCUGGGCUCUGGCCAUCUUUGCAUAAUGUAUGAAUUAAAAAUAAUUUUAUUCCCUCCUCUGUCUUUGUACUUUCUCUCAGUGAAUUGUAGAGUCCAUAAAAAGAUUUCUGGGGAAGAUUUCCAUGAUAAAAACUUCAUACUUCAUAUUUAUACAGAAAUAGAAUGAAUGAGCCCUGUGGCUGCUGGCCCAUGAUUUUUGAGACUUUGCUUUAGUCAGAACUCUGGUGGUUAGAGGAAGAAUUUCAAUUUAAAUUGACUUAAAGAGACAAGGAAGAAUAUAAGGCGCUCACAUCACUGAAAAGUUGAGGGGCAAGUGGGCUUCAGGUAUGGCUGUAUCCAGGUUCUCAAAUGCCAUCACCAGGAUAGGGUGUCUAUAUCUCUCCAGUGUCACUUCCUUAGACUAUUGGCCCAUUUGCAAGGUACUCUCUGCUUGCAGUGUCAGCACCUCCAGAAGCCCCAGUGUUUCUCCCAGCUUCCUAUCCCAGUGGAAAAGGAGCCUGGCUUCGCAUUUGUACCAGAAUAAGCCCUGGAAUGAACUGAUGUGAACGGCAGUUCUCAUUGGUCCUCCCUGAAGCAAUGGCCGUGGCUGUGGGAAGGACUGGACUGAGAAGUGGGUCAGGGCCAUGUCCACCCACUCCUGUGGAUGCAGAGUUGGGGGGUGGCUUUUCCAAAGAAGAUCAGGACACAGGGGUAGCCGACACUGAGCGGGCCACUUGGGCAUCUCUAGCCCUCUCAGUCUCUGUUGCUCCUGUGUCUGUGUCGCUCCCCUCUCUUCUGGAGGACUCAGUGCCCAUCUGCUGUAGCUCUUGGGCUGAAACAUGCCUGGACUUGUUGAAAAGCUAAAGAACAUAUUUGGGCCUUAGAGACUCAUGGACUCAGCGCCACUUGCAGCUCUGUGUCAUAGCCACAUCACUUAGUCCACCUCCAAGGGUGGCUGUGGGGAGGGGAUGGGCUGACCCGUGCCUGGGACAACACCUGGUGGCACUCACUGGAUGUCACCUGCCAAUGGCACUAUCUGAGCUCAGUGUCCCCAAGUAGAUCAAAGUCGUGUACAUUUCAGGGGUCAGAGUGUUCAGCACCUCCAAAGCAAACAACAACAAGAACACCACCACCACCCUUCCACCUAGGCUCUGCCCCAGCUUCCAGCAUUAGGAAUGAAGAAAGGUUAUCCAGGUGAGUUCCCGUCCCUUUGAAGCCCUCCCAUGUCACCAGGUUAGUGGCCUCCUGAAGUUCAGUGAAGCCAUAUCUGGUGGGGUCCUCAGCAGAGUAUUGGCAGAGAAGGAACUAACGGGCCAGGUGUGACACAGGGUGUUCUACCUGCGCCGUCUCCUUUGCCUGCCAGCCCACGUGGUCAGUGUCAUGCCCGUUUGUGGAUGAGCAAGUUAAGUCUGGAGGUUUAAGUAACUCACAGUCACACAGCGAGUGCGGCAGCGGGACUGGGAGCAACGCUCAGUGGUUUCUUCUUCAGAGCAGUGAGCAAUAGCAGAGAAGCCAAGGCCUUUGUCCACCUCUCUGAUUGGUGCCCCUAUUUUUAUUAAGGAGCCCAUUUGAAAGAAUAUAUGCUAAGGUACCCAUUUCUUUUAUUUUGUAAAACUGGGAGCAGGAAUCCUCUCUAGAUGCCUGAAGGAGAGCUGGUGCUGGGGUUAGACCUGGAACCUGCCAAAGAGAGUGGUCCUAACUGUGUUACUGUCAGACACGAGCUGCCCUAAAAUGAAAGGAGGCAGAGGGCCUGCUUCCCCCACCCCACAUCGGAGUCUGUCCGAUUGGUCUCUGGACAUGCACAGUGGGAGGAGCUGGGAGUCCUUAUCCUCAGCUGCCUGUGUGCAGACUCGAGGUUGCUCCCAUCUCCAAUGGUUCUGUAUGGGCAAGAUCUGCAGAAAUAUUCUCAAAUGCCUGAGCUGCCUGGGGCUCUUCAUCUUACCCAUAGCCCCGGUGCCCUGGAGGGGAAGUUUAUGGCCUCAGAGCAGGAGGGACCCAGCUGGAGCCCAGGAAGACAGUGUUGGUUCUCAUGCUGGGAUCCAGGAUCUUAGAGAAAGAGAGGUCUACACUUAGGGUCUCACCCUAGGCGAGGAUGGUAGGUGACGGGGAAGCCUAAGAUCCCACCAUUUCCCCCUGCCCUCCACCUGUGACUAGGUAAGGUUCCCUCUGUUGGGGGGAAGGUGUG
rnacentral:lncRNA from 1 species